rnacentral:rRNA from 1 species
UCUGGUUGAUCCUGCCAGUAGUUAUAUGCUUGUCUCAAAGAUUAAGCCAUGCAUGUCUAAGUACACACGAAUUAAAAGUGAAACCGCAAAAGGCUCAUUAUAUCAGUUAUGGUUCCUUAGAUCGUUAACAGUUACUUGGAUAACUGUGGUAAUUCUAGAGCUAAUACAUGCAAUUAAAACAUGAACCUUAUGGGACAUGUGCUUUUAUUAGGCUAAAACCAAGCGAUCGCAAGAUCGUUAUAUUGGGUUGAACUCUAGAUAACAUGCAGAUCGUAUGGUCUUGUACCGACGACAGAUCUUUCAAAUGUCUGCCCUAUCAACUUUUGAUGGUAGUAUCUAGGACUACCAUGGUUGCAACGGGUAACGGGGAAUCAGGGGUUCGAUUCCGGAGAGGGAGCCUGAGAAACGGCUACCACAUCUAAGGAAGGGCAGCAGGCGCGUAAAUUACCCACUCCCAGCUCGGGGAGGUAGUGACGAAAAAUAACAAUACAGGACUCAUAUCCGAGGCCCUGUAAUUGGAAUGAGUACACUUUAAAUCCUUUAACAAGGACCAAUUGGAGGGCAAGUCUGGUGCCAGCAGCCGCGGUAAUUCCAGCUCCAAUAGCGUAUAUUAAAGUUGUUGCGGUUAAAACGUUCGUAGUUGAACUUGUGCUUCAUACGGGUAGUACAACUUACAAUUGUGGUUAGUACUAUACCUUUAUGUAUGUAAGCGUAUUACCGGUGGAGUUCUUAUAUGUGAUUAAAUACUUGUAUUUUUUCAUAUGUUCCUCCUAUUUAAAAACCUGCACUAGUGCUCUUAAACGAGUGUUAUUGUGGGCCGGUACUAUUACUUUGAACAAAUUAGAGUGCUUAAAGCAGGCUUCAAAUGCCUGAAUAUUCUGUGCAUGGGAUAAUGAAAUAAGACCUCUGUUCUGCUUUCAUUGGUUUUCAGAUCAAGAGGUAAUGAUUAAUAGAAGCAGUUUGGGGGCAUUAGUAUUACGACGCGAGAGGUGAAAUUCUUGGACCGUCGUAAGACUAACUUAAGCGAAAGCAUUUGCCAAAGAUGUUUUCAUUAAUCAAGAACGAAAGUUAGAGGUUCGAAGGCGAUCAGAUACCGCCCUA